AAUUGCCGUUUGAAACGAAACGAUCUGGACUCUGAACGCUCUCUUCUUUUGUAGAGUUCUCACCAAAUGAAAUAACUGAAGUAAAUUUCGUACUUUCCGCCGCCAACAAGAAUUGCACACACGAUCUGAUAAGUGAGACAAUUUAUUUAUAACAAUGGCGACAGCGAAGCAACAUUGUAAAUGCUGAUGUGGUCGCACGACUUCCCUCACGAUUUGAAGUUUGAGACUGGUUUUCUGUUGAAAUUCGUCUUAAUUUGCCUGUUCCGAUUUUAGUUGAAAAUGAGCACUUGUAAAUUUGGCAAUUACUGACUGCGUUGCUUGUUUUUUUGGAGUUUUAACACAGGCAUUUACACAUUGUUUCUAUAUUUUGAAUAUUAAAGCAGAGAAAACCCCGCAACAUUUUAAUGCGUGUUUGUUUGUUAAUAUUUGGGUUGCUGUCAUUGGUUCUUUUUUGACAAUUGACGCGCGAAUGGGGCGUGUUAUGAAAAGGGGCGUUUUACAAAAUACCGGGCCUUGCUUGCAGGCCCACUAUCAGUUCCCUUGGGCCUGCACGCGGGCUAUCGAAUUUUAAGCUUAUCGAGAGCCUUUGUCUAUGCCUUUGUGAUGAAUCACUGACCUAAUUAUAGAAUCCAACAGCAAACAGCCAAUCAGAAUGCCGCGUUCGUGGGCGAACGCGGAAAGUACAAAAUACCGGGCCUUGCUUGCAGGCCCACUAUCAAGUUCCCUUUCAGCCUGCUCCCUUGGGCCUGCACGCGGGCUACAGUAAAUCACUGAAUCAAUUCUGCAUGUAUGCUGAUAAUACUUUACUGAUUAAGCCGGUUUUCCACUAGGCGGAAUUUUGCGCGCGGAGCGGACGUUUUCUUUGUCUUGUGAUUUCUCGGGUGGAACUAAUUAGAAAAGACAAAGAAAGAUUCCGCUCCGCGCGCAAAAUUCCGCCUGGUGGAAAACCGGCUUAAAGGCGACUUUUUGCGACCACUUUCUUUUGAAAUACAAGCAAUCAAGCGCAACGGAUGAGGUUGACUGCACGCAUUUGAAAAGAAAGUGAUCGCAAAAAGUCGAUCGCGCGACUUUUUCCACUGAAUGGAAAUCCACCUUGAAGCCCGUUUUCCACUGGGCGGAAUUUUGCACGCGGAGCGGAAUUUCUCUCUGUCUUUUCUAGCCUGCAUAACAGGCGCUAUUUAGGGGGGAGGGCGAGGGUGGGAAAAGUUAGGGGGGGGGGAAUGCGAAGGCGAGAGAAAGAGAGCGAGGAAAAAUGGAAGGGGCGAGAAAGAAAUAGCUGUCUUUUCAGUCUAAUUAGUUUCCACCCACUGAUCUGAAAUUAGACUGGAUAACGCAUCAAUAUGAUCUAUACUAUAGUAUACAAAAAUGAAGCCGGAAAUCACCGGCCGCCACCCGAUUCUGUGGUCCCACUUUUGUAUAGAUUUGUAUUACAGAUGGUAGUUUUUCGCGUUUUUUGCCUUGGCUAUGUUUCUGACCGGGCCAGUUUUACAAUAACAAAGAUAGAAGCACACAAGAAGAAAUUUGAGCAAAAAAUGUGGAGUAUUAUGGCUUUAUAACGCCGCGAAACGGAAUUUACAAUUUUGAAGGAGUGGUCGUUUUGCGAGUACUUUCAUACAAAAUCAACUCAAAAUAUACAAGCAAUACAAUUCAUGCAGUAGGACAGUUGCCGUAUAAUUUGAGGUUGUGGGAAAGAAUAUAUAUGAUGGUCAACAGAAUCAAAUGCCUUUCCAAAAUCUAGGACUAAAUAAAGAAUGUCGGUUUGGAUGUUCUUGUCGAUAAAUUGCACCAUGACAUAGCAACUAUAGCAGACCAAUAUAGCAUAGUCUCCCGAAAAGGUAGCGUUGCAUCAUUAUAUGUAUUUAUUAUAUAAAGUAUAGUGCUUUAGGGACGGACCAUUAGAUAUUUGAGGGGGUGGUUGCAGCUUUUUUCCUUGCAGGAAUUUUUUUUGGACACACAUGUUGUGCACGCUUUUUUUUCGUUUAAUAGUCAAACGCUUGCAAGAAUUUUUUUUAUUUGUAGUUUUUAAUAGGGGCAGCUUACAAUAUCUUUGAAAGAAAAUUUGAUAGUGUACAUGUAAACAGGCCCUUUCGACAGUGACUGCUCCGUUUCCGGCCAGUGGCGUAGCCAGACCUUCAUUUUUGGGUGGGCGAAGCUCACGCCGUAGGCGUGAGAAAUCUAGAAAUCUAGAGUACCUGAAAUGCUAUUUCAAGCGUUUUGGGGGGUGAAAUCUAGCCGAAUUCCGAAGAUUAUAAAGUACAUCGAAGACAUGAAUUUUCCCAGACAUUUCUACUCGGAAUUAAAUAAAUUGGAAAGUCACCUUGAAAAACAGGAGGGGUCAGUGUCACCUUAUUUGUCCUCUGUGAUGCUGUGGGAAGCAUGUGAUUUUGAUCAGAAAUGUUGCAUUUAAAUCAUUCUAGGUUCCAUGAGACACCAUUUCCGCAUUCUCAAAAUUGCGUUGCUUUUUAUAUGAUACAGGAUAAGUCUGAGAAGAAAUAUUCAUGCUAUGAUAUAAUGCAUACAUGUAUUUAAUUAACAGUUAAAAAUCUAAACUAAAUCUAUUCUUCUUGGAACUAUAUCUACAAGGCUACAAAUGCUUUAACGAGAUUUUACAAAUCAAGUUCCUCAAGUAUUAAUCAGUUUCAGCUUCGAGCAUGUAACGUGUAACCUCCCC
rnacentral:lncRNA from 1 species